GGGUUGUGAGGUUAAGCGACUAAGCGUACACGGUGGAUGCCCUGGCAGUCAGAGGCGAUGAAGGACGUGCUAAUCUGCGAAAAGCGUCGGUAAGGUGAUAUGAACCGUUACAGCCGGCGAUGUCCGAAUGGGGAAACCCAGUGCAAUUCGUUGCACUAUCGUUAACUGAAUACAUAGGUUAACGAGGCGAACCGGGGGAACUGAAACAUCUAAGUACCCCGAGGAAAAGAAAUCAACCGAGAUUCCCCCAGUAGCGGCGAGCGAACGGGGAGCAGCCCAGAGUCUGAAUCAGCUUGUGUGUUAGUGGAACGGUCUGGAAAGUCCGACGGUACAGGGUGAUAGUCCCGUACACCAAAAUGCACAGGCUGUGAACUCGAAGAGUAGGGCGGGACACGUGGUAUCCUGUCUGAAUAUGGGGGGACCAUCCUCCAAGGCUAAAUACUCCUGACUGACCGAUAGUGAACCAGUACCGUGAGGGAAAGGCGAAAAGAACCCCGGCGAGGGGAGUGAAAAAGAACCUGAAACCGUGUACGUACAAGCAGUGGGAGCACCUUCGGGUGUGACUGCGUACCUUUUGUAUAAUGGGUCAGCGACUUAUAUUCUGUAGCAAGGUUAACCGUAUAGGGGAGCCGCAGGGAAACCGAGUCUUAACUGGGCGUUAAGUUGCAGGGUAUAGACCCGAAACCCGGUGAUCUAGCCAUGGGCAGGUUGAAGGUUGGGUAACACUAACUGGAGGACCGAACCGACUAAUGUUGAAAAAUUAGCGGAUGACUUGUGGCUGGGGGUGAAAGGCCAAUCAAACCGGGAGAUAGCUGGUUCUCCCCGAAAGCUAUUUAGGUAGCGCCUCGUGAAUUCAUCUUCGGGGGUAGAGCACUGUUUCGGCUAGGGGGUCAUCCCGACUUACCAACCCGAUGCAAACUACGAAUACCGAAGAAUGUUAUCACGGGAGACACACGGCGGGUGCUAACGUCCGUCGUGAAGAGGGAAACAACCCAGACCGCCAGCUAAGGUCCCAAAGUCAUGGUUAAGUGGGAAACGAUGUGGGAAGGCACAGACAGCCAGGAUGUUGGCUUAGAAGCAGCCAUCAUUUAAAGAAAGCGUAAUAGCUCACUGGUCGAGUCGGCCUGCGCGGAAGAUGUAACGGGGCUAAACCAUGCACCGAAGCUGCGGCAGCGACGCUUAUGCGUUGUUGGGUAGGGGAGCGUUCUGUAAGCCUGCGAAGGUGACCUGUGAGGGUUGCUGGAGGUAUCAGAAGUGCGAAUGCUGACAUAAGUAACGAUAAAGCGGGUGAAAAGCCCGCUCGCCGGAAGACCAAGGGUUCCUGUCCAACGUUAAUCGGGGCAGGGUGAGUCGACCCCUAAGGCGAGGCCGAAAGGCGUAGUCGAUGGGAAACAGGUUAAUAUUCCUGUACUUGGUGUUACUGCGAAGGGGGGACGGAGAAGGCUAUGUUAGCCGGGCGACGGUUGUCCCGGUUUAAGCAUGUAGGCUGGUUGUCCAGGCAAAUCCGGAUAAUCAAGGCUGAGGUGUGAUGACGAGGCACUACGGUGCUGAAGUAACAAAUGCCCUGCUUCCAGGAAAAGCCUCUAAGCAUCAGGUAACAUUAAAUCGUACCCCAAACCGACACAGGUGGUCAGGUAGAGAAUACCAAGGCGCUUGAGAGAACUCGGGUGAAGGAACUAGGCAAAAUGGUGCCGUAACUUCGGGAGAAGGCACGCUGGUGUGUAGGUGAAGUCCCUGCGGAUGGAGCUGAGACCAGUCGAAGAUACCAGCUGGCUGCAACUGUUUAUUAAAAACACAGCACUGUGCAAACACGAAAGUGGACGUAUACGGUGUGACGCCUGCCCGGUGCCGGAAGGUUAAUUGAUGGGGUUAUCCGUAAGGAGAAGCUCUUGAUCGAAGCCCCGGUAAACGGCGGCCGUAACUAUAACGGUCCUAAGGUAGCGAAAUUCCUUGUCGGGUAAGUUCCGACCUGCACGAAUGGCGUAAUGAUGGCCAGGCUGUCUCCACCCGAGACUCAGUGAAAUUGAACUCGCUGUGAAGAUGCAGUGUACCCGCGGCAAGACGGAAAGACCCCGUGAACCUUUACUAUAGCUUGACACUGAACAUUGAGCCUUGAUGUGUAGGAUAGGUGGGAGGCUUUGAAGCGUGGACGCCAGUCUGCGUGGAGCCAACCUUGAAAUACCACCCUUUAAUGUUUGAUGUUCUAACGUUGGCCCCUUACCGGGGUUGCGGACAGUGUCUGGUGGGUAGUUUGACUGGGGCGGUCUCCUCCCAAAGCGUAACGGAGGAGCACGAAGGUUAGCUAAUCCUGGUCGGACAUCAGGAGGUUAGUGCAAUGGCAUAAGCUAGCUUGACUGCGAGCGUGACGGCGCGAGCAGGUGCGAAAGCAGGUCAUAGUGAUCCGGUGGUUCUGAAUGGAAGGGCCAUCGCUCAACGGAUAAAAGGUACUCCGGGGAUAACAGGCUGAUACCGCCCAAGAGUUCAUAUCGACGGCGGUGUUUGGCACCUCGAUGUCGGCUCAUCACAUCCUGGGGCUGAAGUAGGUCCCAAGGGUAUGGCUGUUCGCCAUUUAAAGUGGUACGCGAGCUGGGUUUAGAACGUCGUGAGACAGUUCGGUCCCUAUCUGCCGUGGGCGCUGGAGAAUUGAGGGGGGCUGCUCCUAGUACGAGAGGACCGGAGUGGACGCAUCACUGGUGUUCGGGUUGUCAUGCCAAUGGCACUGCCCGGUAGCUAAAUGCGGAAGAGAUAAGUGCUGAAAGCAUCUAAGCACGAAACUUGCCCCGAGAUGAGUUCUCCCUGAGACUUUAAGUCUCCUGAAGGAACGUUAAAGACGAUGACGUUGAUAGGCCGGGUGUGUAAGCGCAGCGAUGCGUUGAGCUAACCGGUACUAAUGAACCGUGAGGCUUAACCUUACAACGCCGAAG
rnacentral:rRNA from 1 species